GUCCCCAUAGGCCAACUGGAUAGACCCGCGGUUUCCUAAACCGCUAAUGCAGGUUCGAUUCCUGCUGGGGACACCA
rnacentral:tRNA from 1 species